GGAUAGAUAAUGUGGAAAAGAGCCCUAUAUGUAUAAUGUACCAAGCUUGGAUUAGCCUCUUAGGUAUGUGAAAUUUAUCAUUUUGGGAAAUACAGUUAGUAAAAUGACUUUGAGAUAAGUAAGACAGUUAGAGAUAAAAUGAGUAGAUUCAUUGAUAAAGUUGAUUUACAUUACUGAAAUAGUAAAACGAAAAAUACAAGAAUUGGAAAUGUAUAUAUCAAUUUUCUCCCUUGGUAGGCUGAUCAGUGGGU
rnacentral:lncRNA from 1 species